GGCUAUGUCGUGGCCAUGGCGAACAAAUGUCGAAAAAGUUGUUAGCUGUUCGAGUGUUUUUACGGAUGACAUUCAACCAUAAUUUAAUAUGUUCUCUCUUGACAAUUACGUAAAUGGUACUUCCAAAACAGCUGAGUUAAUCAAGUAGUGAUCAUUGUUGCAUUCCCAACAAAGAGCAUGCAGCAAACUUCAGAAAAAGAAAAACAAGAGCCUGCUACAUUGAAUUUCCCUCUUUGACUUCGGGCAUGCUUCGGGCCCGCUCUUGAUUCGAGGUUAUUCCUGCGCCGCUAUUCAAUAGAUUGAAUCCUUUGAACCUGACGUGCUAUCAUUAGCCAUACUGCUCACUUGCCUCUUUCGUCGCUCCGAGGCAUGGGGGCUGUUUAGCCUGUUCCAGCUACGCGGCCAGCAUCAUUCAACUACCCAACCGACUUGUACUACCCCUGCUCUCAACAUAGAACGGAAUUUUCAUCUUCAGAUUGUUUGGCCGGUGUUGAUGUGUGAUGGCGUUUCCUUGAGGACGACGAGAUGCUGAUUUUGGGGACGAGAAUAUUACGUUCUAAACUACAGGUUUCUAAAUUUGCAUGACAGACUUUAUGAGAAGCCUUGUCCUUUGAAGAAAACGGACAAUGACUGUAGUCAACAAGGUCCCUUGUUUGGUAACUCGUUGGCUGCCACCCUUUUAACUUCCUUAAACGGGCCCUCUUGAUUUAAGGGUAACUCCUUCGACCUUCACUACUAAUCGUGGACUUCAUCGAUUGGUGAAAACUGACGAGAGAAUGCUGUGAUUCAAGACUGAUUAGUUGUAUAGUUGAUAGAUAAAUAACAAGUGCAUAUCUGGGCUCCCUUCUAUUCUGUGGCCCCGUUUCCCUAACUAACCACUAACCAACGCCCGCCGGUGGUCACUCACCCGCUGUGAAACCAGGAGGAGGGG
rnacentral:lncRNA from 1 species